rnacentral:rRNA from 1 species
CACGGGGGGAGCAAGCGUUGUUCGGAAUCAUUGGGCGUAAAGAGCGUGUAGGCGGCCCGGUAAGUCCGCUGUAAAAGUCAAAGGCUCAACCUUUGAAUGUCAGUGGAUACUGUCGGGCUAGAGUCCGGAAGAGGCGAGUGGAACUCCUGGUGUAGCGGUGGAAUGCGCAGAUAUCAGGAAGAACACCAACGGCGAAGGCAGCUCGCUAGGACGGUACUGACGCUGAGACGCGAAAGCGUGGGGAGCGAACAGG